rnacentral:rRNA from 1 species
CCUACGGGAGGCAGCAGUCGAGAAUCAUUCACAAUGGGGGAAACCCUGAUGGUGCGACGCCGCGUGGGGGAAUGAAGGUCUUCGGAUUGUAAACCCCUGUCAUGUGGGAGCAAAUUAAAAAGAGCGUACCACAAGAGGAAGAGACGGCCAACUCUGUGCCAGUAACCGCGGUAAUACAGAGGUCUCAAGCGUUGAUCGGAAUCAAUGGGCUUAAAGGGUUCGGUUGCUGUUUGGUAAGUCGUGUGGGAAAUGGGCGGGCUCAACCCGCGGCCGGCACCUGAUACUGCGAGACUAGAGUGAGGGAGAGGGACGCGGAAUGCGAGGUGUAGCGGUGAAAUGCGUAGAUAUCGAGAGGAACACUCAUGGCGAAGGCAGGUUACUGGCCACUAACUGACGCUGAGGCACGAAGGCGAGGGGAGCGAACGGGAUUAGAUACCCCGGUAGUC